rnacentral:lncRNA from 1 species
UCAGAUUGAAUAAAAGAAUCUCUUUGACUUCUUCUUUUCUGUUCUUGUAUCUUUCUUCAUGUAUUAGUUUUCUCCUUCAUAUUCGAGAGGAGCCUCUGUUUAGUUUUAUGGUUUACAAAAACUUCUAAGACUUUGUUUGUAUGAAUAGGACAUCUAAGGAUUGUGUAAUGUAAUUAAUGUAGUAGCUUGAUGUUUGUAUGAAAUUUGGAAUAUCUAAGAAUGUAAAAAAAGUUUCUAUUUUUGCUAUUUUGAUAAUCAUAUUUUUUCAUAUCAGCAUAUCAAUUAUAUAUAUAGAGAGAUAGAAUCUAAUUCUGUAUGAUAUAUAUAUCAAGUGCUAUUCUUGCUCAGAUUCUUUUAAUUACAUGGCACCUAAUUCUCUAUCAUAUUUUUUACUCCUCUUUGAUCUUUGUCUUUUCCACUCGUUAAUUUCAUUAUUGUUCAUUGAUUCUUCCAAAUGCAUAUAUCCAACUUUUGCAAAGCAGGCUAUCAACAUCUCCUAACCGGUCGUAUAUUGUGUGUGCCAAUUUCCAUUUAAUUAAUAAACCCGUGCAUUUCAUAACCAUAAAAAAUAAGGAAAAUGAUACUUUGACACCUUCUGGGUGACAAAAUUUUUACACCAAUGACGUGUCAGCUUCUCAUUGGUUCACCUUUUUGAAAAAAAAAAAAUUUAAAUGACGUGGAUUAGUUGAGGGCACGCGCAGAAAAUGAAAGCAAACAAUUUCCCAAAUUCAAAUUCAUUUUCAGAUUGCGAGAAUGAAACCUAGAGAGAGAAACUCUCCCUCCCAACGACCAAAGCCCCUUCACGACUCCACCGUUGUUCGCCGUUGAACGGCCAUCGGAGGUCCACCCAGAGGCAGCACCGUCGAUCAUCUUCGUGUCUCUUCCCACCG